rnacentral:rRNA from 1 species
GACGAACGCUGGCGGCGUGCUUAACACAUGCAAGUCGAACGCUGAAGCCCAGCUUUUGUUGGGUGGAUGAGUGGCGAACGGGUGAGUAACACGUGAGUAACCUGCCCCCUUCUUUGGGAUAACGCCCGGAAACGGGUGCUAAUACUGGAUAUUCACUGGUCUUCGCAUGGGGGUUGGUGGAAAGGGUUUUUCUGGUGGGGGAUGGGCUCGCGGCCUAUCAGCUUGUUGGUGGGGUGAUGGCCUACCAAGGCUUUGACGGGUAGCCGGCCUGAGAGGGUGACCGGUCACAUUGGGACUGAGAUACGGCCCAGACUCCUACGGGAGGCAGCAGUGGGGAAAAUUGCGCAAUGGGCGCAAGCCUGAUGCAGCGACGCCGCGUGAGGGAUGGAGGCCGUCGGGUUGUGAACCUCUUUCGCUCAUGGUCAAGCCGCAACAAUGGUUGUGGUGAGGGUAGUGGGUAAAGAAGCGCCGGCUAACUACGUG